rnacentral:rRNA from 1 species
GACGAACGCUGGCGGCAGGCCUAACACAUGCAAGUCGAACGGGGAAAGCUUUCGGGUGAGUACUAGUGGCGCACGGGUGAGUAACGCGUGGAUAAUCUGCCUUAGAGUGGGGGAUAACUAGUCGAAAGAUUAGCUAAUACCGCAUAAGACCACAAGAACUGCGGUUCAAGAGGUCAAAGGUUUUUCGCUCUAAGAUGAGUCCGCGUAAGAUUAGCUAGUUGGUGAGGUAACGGCUCACCAAGGCAACGAUCUUUAACUGGUCUGAGAGGAUGAUCAGUCACACUGGAACUGAGACACGGUCCAGACUCCUACGGGAGGCAGCAGUAGGGAAUAUUGCACAAUGGAGGAAACUCUGAUGCAGCGACGCCGCGUGAGUGAUGAAGGCCUUCGGGUCGUAAAGCUCUGUCGCAGGGGAAUAACACAAUGAAUGUACCCUGUAAGAAAGGAUCGGCUAACUUCGUGCCAGCCGCCGCGGUAAAAC